CACAGAGUAGGAGGUGGGGGGGAGUCUCAAGGCCUCAAAGCAGCAAAAUGGAGGGUGAUUUGGCUGCUGCAGAAGCAGCCAGUGGCUAGAUAUAAGAUGCCUUUAGUCUCAGCAUGGUUUAAGGCAAAGGUUUCUUGUGAGUUGCAUGAUUUUGGGGGAGGUUUCAGAUAAGCCCUUUCCAAAGAAGGGAAAGGGCUGUCUGCAGACAAAGGUUAGACCUGUACGUGUGUAUUUGCAGCCCAGCAGUGUAAAUGCUCUCUGUAACUGUGAUUCUCUCUCUUGCCCCUCAAGACUGGCAGACAGAGGCUGGCCUCCUGUUCUAGCUACGACACGACACUCGCUGGACACCAGCCUUAUGGGCACCGAAGAUGCUUCAGCCCAGCACACAGGUGACAUGAAUGGCUUUAGGAGCGAGAGCAAAGGGACCAUCCAACAGCCAAGUUGGCAAGUAAGAUUUAUUGAAUGCAGGUCAGACCCCAAAGUGGGAUGACCGGGUUUCAGCAGGAAGCACAUCGGGCAUUAAGAGGAAAAACCAGCCACGAGCCCUCAAGAGCAGAGCAGCCCCCACCCCUUCCUUCUGUGCUCCUACUCCUUCCCCAAACCCAAUGUCCUCAGGGAGCCCUAGGGACCCACAGGACUCAAUGCCUCUCUUUGUCCUACAGGAUGCUGCUUCCAGGAUGCACCCCUUCAGCACCCUGCAGGACAUCCCUAAGAGAGAAGAAGGAUGACAGCAUGUCGAGCACUGAGGAAUCACGCUGCGUCCUGAGGCCGCGCUGAGGAGCCAUGGGGAGGAUCCACAUCAUUCCAAAAGGUUGGUGUUUGCGGCUUUUUUUCGCGACACACAGCUCAAAA